AGCAGCCGCGGUAAUUCCAGCUCCAAUAGCGUAUAUUAAAGUUGUUGCAGUUAAAAAGCUCGUAGUUGAAUUUCGGGAUCAGUACGCUGGUCGUGCCUUCGGUAUGCACUGGUUUCACUGAUUCCUCCCUUCUGAAGAACCGUAAUGCCAUUCAGUUGGUGUGGCGGGGAAUCAGGAUUGUUACUUUGAAAAAUUAGAGUGUUUAAAGCAGGCUCGCGCUUGAAUACAUUAGCAUGGAAUAAUGAAAUAGGACGUUUGAUCCUAUUUUGUUGGUUUCUAGGAUUGACGUAAUGAUUGAUAGGGAUAGUUGGGGGCAUUAGUAUUCAAUUGUCAGAGGUGAAAUUCUUGGAUUUAUUGAAGACUAACUACUGCGAAAGCAUUUGCCAAGGAUGUUUUCAUUAAUCAAGAACGAAAGUUAGGGGAUCGAAGACGAUCAGAUACCGUCGUAGUCUUAACCAUAAACUAUGCCGACUAGGGAUCGGAUGAUGUUAAUUUUUAAUGACUCAUUC
rnacentral:rRNA from 1 species